AUUGAACGCUGGCGGCGUGCUUAACACAUGCAAGUCGUGCGGUAACAGGCGUAGCAAUACGUGCUGACGAGCGGCGAACGGGUGCGUAAUACAUGGGAAUCUGCCCUUUAGUGGGGAAUAACCCGGCGAAAGCCGGGCUAAUGCCGCAUAAGAUCUUCGGAUGAAAGCGGGGGAUCGUAAGACCUCGCGCUGAUGGAUGAGCCCAUGUCGGAUUAGCUAGUUGGUGAGGUAACGGCUCACCAAGGCGACGAUCCGUAGCUGGUCUGAGAGGACGGCCAGCCACACUGGGACUGAGACACGGCCCAGACUCCUACGGGAGGCAGCAGUGGGGAAUAUUGGACAAUGGGCGAAAGCCUGAUCCAGCGACGCCGCGUGUGUGAAGAAGGCCUGCGGGUUGUAAAGCACUUUCG
rnacentral:rRNA from 1 species